rnacentral:rRNA from 1 species
UACAGAGGCCUCGAGCGUUAGGCGGAAUCACUGGGCUUAAAGCGUGUGUAGGCGGACUUCUAAGUACCUUGUGAAAUCCCACGGCUCACCCGUGGAACUGCUUGGUAUACUGGUUGUCUUGAGCCUUCUAGGGGCGAGUGGAACAAAUGGUGGAGCGGUGAAAUGCGUAGAUAUCAUUUGGAACGCCAAUGGUGAAAACAACUCGCUGGGGAAGUGCCGACGCUGAGACACGAAAGCCAGGGGAGCGAACGGG